rnacentral:rRNA from 1 species
AACGAACGCUGGCGGCAUGCCUAACACAUGCAAGUCGAACGAGACCUUCGGGUCUAGUGGCGCACGGGUGCGUAACACGUGGGAAUUUGCCUCGGGGUAUGGAAUAACUCAGGGAAACUUGAGCUAAUACCAUAUAAUGUCUUCGGACCAAAGAUUUAUCGCCCUGAGAUAAGCCCCGCGUAGGAUUAGCUAGUUGGUGGGUAAAGGCUCACCAAGGCGACGAUCCUUAGCUGGUCUGAGAGGAUGAUCAGCCACACUGGGACUGAGACACGGCCCAGACUCCUACGGGAGGCAGCAGCGGGGAAUAUUGGACAAUGGGCGAAAGCCUGAUCCAGCAAUGCCGCGUGAGUGAUGAAGGCCUGGUCGUAAGCUCUUUACCCGGGUACGUGAUAA